rnacentral:tRNA from 1 species
GGGGAAGUGCCGGAAUUGGCAGACGGGCCAGAUUUAGGAUCUGGUGUCGCAAGACGUGGGGGUUCGAGUCCCCCCUUCCCCA